ACCUGCAAGUAACUGCUUUUGCAUGUAUGUACAUCAUAAGGAUACUAAAACACAAGUGCUUUGCUUACUGCAUUUUUAAUUACCUUGACAGGGUCUCUUCCCUGCAUCGAAGGUGAAGGGUCAUUCUUGUAAAGAAAAAUGAUUGGUAUCUGAAUCUUAGGCUUCCUUUGUCAUCAAUAUCUGAAAGUUGCUUCACUUCUCUUGGUGUCGGCCUCGCUGGAGCAGUUAGUUUCGGUGCCUUCCGGGUAACUGAUAGAACUUAAUUGAGAAAAUUUGGAUGCCAUCUAGGGACCGAGUUACUUGAACUUACCAUUUGCUGCCCCCAAAGGUGUUCCAUUUAUAGUGGUUGCAAGUCAACACGGGAGGCUCUUAACGCUUUCAAUACCCUUUUUUUAAUUACUAUUAUUAUUAAUUCACGCAUCGAAUUUGGAUCGGAGUCUUAAAAAGACUUAUUUAUUAUUGGAACCAGACCUUAAUUCACUUUAUAAAAGAUGAAAAUAAUUUAUAUUACGGUUAAAAAUCUGCGUUGCAGCAGACCACUAGUGUAAUGUGGGGAUCAUUUGUCUGCCAUUUCUUUGUCUUUGUCUCUCGUUUGGCCACUUUCAAACCGCAGAACGAGUUAUGACAAAUAAACUCAGCAAAAAUAUCUCCAUUUGUUUUGCAAUUUGGAUGGCUCAAAUUAAACGUAGUACAAUAAUGCUUGUAACCAGCACCACCUUUGAUGGUGCCAUCAUUUAUGACGUUGUGAUUGCUCGCCCUCUUGGCGCCGACAAUCGAAAUCUCUGCUUGGCCUCAGCUUUUGUCUCCAUGCCGCCGACGAUCGGAGUCGCAUCAAGGAGCAGGGUCGACGCUUUGGAUUCUGGGAUUUCAAAUGAUAAGGGUAAUUUCGUCCAAAUGAAUGACGUUUGGUUAUGUUUAGAAACAAAAUGUGUGGUUUACUUUUCUAAUUCAGUAAUUUAGUAGGUUAGUUUUGUAAAUUUUCUCUUUUUCAUAUUGUACAAUUAAAAAAAAAAGAAUAUUUGAAGUCACUAGAAUACUCAAUAGAUCCAUCUUUUAAUGAACAUUUUUAUGACUAAUUUAUCCCCAAUUUAAAUUAUAAUUAUGAACAAGGUAAUACGGUUACAUUUAAAACAAAAAAUGGUAAUACGGUUACAUUUAAAACAAAAAAAAUGUUCUCCCAUCUUGAUCUCCUCUGCAUUGUUCUCUCACUUUGGUCAACGGGGAUUCAAACAAUUGGGAUUACAAAGCAUGAAUUUAUCAAUUUACGGGAUGUACUUUACCAAGAAAGAAGGACAAUGCAAGGGGAACAAAAGUUACUUGCUCGAUUGGCAUUGAUUCUUAGUUUAAACGUGAAGCAGCUUGAGUUUUAUUUCAUCUUUAAUGUUAAUAUAACAAAAAUUGAAGCCGUAUUUGACCAAAACGUUUGGCGGGAAAAGAUUUUCCUAGCACUUUCGUGGGAUUUCAGCAGUGAAUUCUCUGUUUUUGGUCAAGAAUUUUAUAUAUAGAAAACAAAAUAGUUAGUCGGGGCAGAGAUUUUGUUAUUCACUGUGGUUUGCCUAAUCUUAGAUUUAUGAAAAUACAUGCAAAAUUUAAUGGAAAAGAAAAAUAGUGAAGUGAGAGUUAAACCUGUUGGGUCCAUCUCAUUUGGGGCCCAAAAGUCCAAAGUUUAAAAAGACUUAUUUGAUGUGUAAUUGACAUUAAACUUUGGAUUGGAUGAAAUUUUGCCAUGAAAUUAGGUUUUGAAAACGUGGCUAUAUAAAGAAGAGUAAGUGGAGGCGGCUGACAUAAGAAAGCAAGAGAAGGAAAAACGAGAGAGAGAAAAGACAGUUCCUACUAAUUUUGAUUUUUAUUUUAUCUUCUCGUUAGUUAUUAUUUGAGAUAUUCACUUAUUAGAGAGAUAAAUAUUAGGCUCUAACUGUAAGUAAAAAAAUUUUGUGAUUUUUAAUUUUAUUAGCCUCUAAUAUUAUUUAGAGAAGAAUUUUUACUGUAAUCUCAUUAAUAUAAUGAAAGAUUAUAUCGGACUAUAGUCCCGUGAUUUUUCCUGCUUUUGCCUUUCCAUGUAAAAGUUUGUGUCUUUUGUGUUGAAUUAUUACUUUAGAUUUUGUUGAUUUAUUUUUCUGUUUAUUUAUUUAUGGUACACAUCUUAUUUUAAUCACACAAAGAAAAAAAUAAUUUUAUUUCAACUUAAUUUGUAGUUUUUGUGUUAAUUCAUUUCCCAAUAAAACCUUCACAUAUGGUGGAGAUAAAUCCAAAAAUAAAUAGAGAUUAGCGAAAGGAUUGAAGAAGUCGGCAACAGAAAAUUGCAUAAAUUAUGAUAAAUUCACUAAUAAAGUUAUUAUAGGCUUUAAGAUGGGUCUACGUAAAGUUUUAGAUUUUAAUGAUAGUUUAUUAAGUAAAUGGGUUUAAAGAAUAUUUUGAUAUGUUCAAAUAAUUCCACCAAAAAAAAAUUGCAGUUUCUAAAUUCCCAAACUAUUGUGGUUAGAGUAAAACAAAGAUGAGAAACCAAAAAUCUUCUUAAACUAAAUGAUAAAAUUUUACAAAUUUCAUCGUAAAUAAUGUAGUUUCACAACUCAAAGAAAUUAAAUAACCUGCUGAUUUUUUUUUUGGUUAAUUUGGUGAAUUCUUCGUUACCAAAUGAACUAACUAAGUUUUUGAGGUUUUGAAGAAACUAGGGAUGAAGAAAGAGGUCACAAAAUGUGCAGAGAAAGAGAUCAAAUAAGUCUCACAUUAAAACUCGGUUAAUUUUCGGACUGUAGUUAGCCACUAAACGUAAAGGGAAAUUAAUAGUAAAUUAAAAUUUAGCGAUAAAUAUACUUAAAUGACAUGUGUUAUAACUCUCUAAUAAAAAAAUCUUAGAAAAAAUUAGAUUAUAAGAGGAUUUGAAUGCAUUCCGAGGACCAAAUUUCCCUAAGCAUCUAACUUGUAGACAAGCUGCAUAAAGACAGAAGUGGCCCUCAUCAAUUUUGGGAAACAGAUGGGCUUUCAUAAUUUAAAAAAUGUAUGGUUGCCAUGCGUUCCAUCUGUAUUGCAAUUUGGGUGGCUCAAAUUAAACAUAGUACAAUAAUGCAUGUGAACAGCCCGGCCUCUGAUGUUGCGAUCAUCUGUUGGCGAGAAAGACGACAUAUUCGCACAGAAAUAUGUCAUAUUCAGAGUAAAAUAUAAAUUUAUUUUAUUUCACAAAUGAACAAAUGAAAAACGUGCGGUUGAGAUGCUUGUCAAUUUUUGUUUUCAAUUAUUACAAACUAUUAAUGGCAAUUGCUAAGUUACGUUUCAUGUUGAAUUUAAGGAAAAGUAGUAAUAGACUGGAUUAGUUAAAAUCAUAGACAGUAACUAACGCAAACCCUAAUUUAGGGAGAUUCAUUAUUAAUAUACUCCAAUUGGAGAUCCAUUGAAGAAUAAUAAUUUGUAAUAUAAUAUAGAGACCUACUAAAUAUAACCAAUAAAUUUAUUCCCACUAAUAAUUGGAGAAAGAUCUAUCAUAUUUUAUAGAUUAUGGUAAGAAAAAAGUGUUGCAAAGUCAGCACCGAAUCCAAUUUUUGUUGAGCACAUGCAUAUGGCUAGCAACUUUUUGACUGCAAUUGCAUGUAAUAGCAUGGAAUUUCUUGCUCUUACAGAAGUCACACCGAAGCCAUUAAAAUUGAAAAAUGGGUAAGAGUUUUCCGUGCGUUCAUACUGUAAGCUUCGCCUAUAAAUAGAGACGCAAAAUGCAUUUGUAACCCAUUCAAAAUUUUGUGAGAUCUAAGCUCAUUCCAAGUGAGUUUUUAGAAGAGGAUUUCCUUAGGUGCUAAGGGGAUUCAUUUGGGUGUAUUGAGUAUUGGGUUUUGACAGUUUUUUUAAUUUUAUAAAUUCUGAUUAUUAGUAAAAUUAUCUUUCAGUCUUUAUUUGUGGACGUAGGUUUUACGCCGAACCACGUAAAUUAUUGUAUCCUAUUUUCUUUACAUUUAUUUGUCACAUUUAUCUUUCUCUAGAAAUCACAGUCACCAUAAUAUUAAUAAUUGCUCAACCCAUGCUUCCACAACACAAAUAACUCCGCAAAAGCUCGAACCGAUUUUUCUAUUUAAUUUUUAUGCGUGUAUGUGUGUGUAUAUAGAGGAUAAUUUUAGAGUUUGUAAUCUUGCACUUUUGAUAAAAGUAUCAUGCCAACAAUAUUUGCUGCCUAUGAUAGGACAAUAAAUUUCAAUUAAAAAGAGAAAAAGAAAAAAAGAGCCCUGACAUCUGGAUCCCACACUAAUAUGUAUAUACAGGGUUCACUUCUGCUAAGAAAUCUUGCACUUUAAUUAAAUUGCAAGAUCCCACCAUAGUUCAGUGUAAAAUUUUAAUUAGGGUAAGUCUUCUUAUGUUCAUUAUGAAUGGACUGGACUAAAAUAUUCAGAUUGUACUAUUAGAAAGCUUAUAUAGAAAAAGUUUGUAGGAAAUCAAAGUCCCCUCGAUGUCAAAUAAAUCCUUCAUUGAUCCUUGAAUCAUUCUCUUUACCACUUCUUCAAAUCUCUUCAUAUUUGACAACAACAAAUGUAUGGGUAUAAGAAUUCUACUCUCCUCUUCCUGUUUUUGAUAUUUAGCAAAGACAAUAAGCAUAUAUAUAGCCCCAGCAAUUCCAGCAAAAAUUAGUUUCCCCCGUCCCAGAUCAAUUUUAUGAUCAAAUCCAGCUUUGGAUAAAUUGGAAACUAUGAAAUCUCCUUUAUUCAAAUACAUUAUUCGUCUCCUCUUGAUCAACAUAAGAUCAUCACCAAAUGAACUUUUGUACUCUUCGCUCAUUUUAUCCUUUGGCUUUUUCACCAAUUCAACACCAUAUCCUAAUAAACUUUUGCAUAAUAUUUCAGCUUUUGAACAUACAAUUGGGAAUGCCAAUGCGUUACCAUAAUACCCAGAAGGCAAGUUCAUGUUAUAAUAUUUCCCUUGUGCAUUAACUAGACAUGAAAAUAGAUUAGUGUCUUCACGAUCUAGUUGAAGUACAAUUGUUCUACUUCUCCACUGACGAUGCAUAAACGUAAAAAUUAAAAGAUAAGAGAAAUUAAGUUUUUGUGUUGAUGCAGAAAUCUGAUCUAGAUAGUUAUCACGACCAGCUGACUACGUCAAUACUUAAGUUUAUUUGUGAUGGGAAAUGAUAUUGCUUGGACUUGCUUUCUUUGAGCAGGUACUGACGAACUCGAACUCUCCACACUAACUUCACCUACAAUCACAAUAAAUAGUGAGGGGGCGCCAGAUGUUUUUUCGGCGAAAACCCUCCGAGCUGAAGUUAGUUCUCGUGUUCCUGGGAAAAACUUCUGGCGAAAACCCUCCGAGCUCAAGUUAGUUCUCGUGUUCCUGGGAAAAACUUGUGCCACACCUUCUGUGACUUAAUUAUAAAUAGUCUAAGUUAAGAUUUUUAUUCCCCACGAGAAAGAAAUAACUUAAGAAAAGAAAUUCUAGAAUCAGUGAGGCAGAGUUUGCUCAGAGAAAAAAGUAUCUUACCUCGAUUUAGACCUUGUAGGGCUUUUAUAAGCAGCCAAAUAUGGUACACCACCAUUAAUUAGUGGAUGUUAGUAGGUUGGUUGAACGUGCCUACUGGGUAAUGAGUGAGUGCGCCAGUUACGAGCAUGGUAACUGAUUGGGUGUGGGCAUCAUGCCUGGAUUUUCGAAGACAAUCUACUGCUCGACCUUUGACCAAGUCUUUUUAUUGACCUGAUUUUGGCUUCUCCUUAUGAACCUUUUGACCGUACUCAUGCAUUCAACCAAUUGACUACCUCCUUGAGAUGCCACUUUGUUACAGAUUUUCUAAUGUUAUGGGUGUCAAUGUGUAAGUUUACAUAACAAGUAAUAUAAUGAUAAAUAUUCAAGAUUGUCUUCACAUAGAUUGUUGUUAUGGAAAUUGCUACAGUAAUUUUAUCUGUGCAAUUUUUAUUCUAAAUUAGAAUUAAAACAAAUUAUUAAACUAAUGAAUUAAUUAAAAUAAAAACGCAAUAAAAAUGUAAUAAAGUAAAUUAUCACAACAAAUAUAAGGAUCUAACCAAGGGGAAUGAAGUAGCUGAGUGAUUAAACUCAUUUAAUGAUUUUGACUAUUUUUCUAAUGUUUGGUUCGGUUGCUACAACAAUGGGCAGAAUUCUUUCUUAUGUAUCCUCAGCUGUCGCAUGUUGGAUGUCUUAUACAUAAAUGCAACUUAACAGUGACCAAUUGUUAUGCUAACAUCAUAUAUAAUAUUACACGUUUUAAAUUCUAAUUACCCUAUAAGGUGAAUCUCUAUAUCUAGUUCAUCAUUAAUUUUAGAUUAAGCAUGACUCUUUUCUAAUCAAGUUAAACACAACUCAGGAAACUCAAUCUAAAACCAAGUAUUGCUCUGAUAUGUUCCACUAAAACAUGCCUUUUUGAGACUCUUUCUUAACUAGUAUCACUAAAUGGGUGGUCAGUCGAAUUAAUGAAUUGAAAUAAGUAUUAUCAAAACAACAUACUAUAGCAAACAUGCAGCAACACUGAAUAUCAGUCAAUUAAUCAUCAAGUUUAUUUAUCACUCAACUAUAAGUAAAUUUAGUUCAUAAUUUAUGAUAAAACAAGAAGCAAAAUAGUUUCAGCCAUCAAACAAUUCAUCAUAACGAGAUAAAAACAAGAGAGCAAGAAAUAAGAGUGAGAUCCGCUUGAUGUUCUUCUAGAAUCCUUUGUUACUGUCCUCAAUUCUCUCUCUUGAUCUUUGUUUUCUCUUGUUUUGUUUCUCUAUUCUUUUUCUCUAAUGACAACAUCCUUUUUUUCUUUGCGUGUGUGCUCCUUUUAGAGCUUAGAAUUAGGGCAUCCGAAAGCCUAAGGUGCACAUAUUCCAGAUCGCAAUCUUUUAAGGGCCUGUUUGGUACCGUUUUCAACCCUUUAUUUUCGUUUUUGUUUUAUAAAUACAAUUGAAAAACACGUUUGGUGGGCUAAAUUCAGAAACAUAUUAUAAAACAAAAAAUUCGGAUUUGUUUGGUGGGCUAAACUCAGAAACAUAUUAUAAAAUAAAAAAUUCGGAUUUACUUUUUCAGUUGUAAAGUUGAAAACGUGUUUAAUGUGUUUUCAAAUGAAUUUACAAUUCACACUAAAGAACAAACUACAGAACAAAUCUCAAACAUAUGUGGCUCGUGUUCUCUUCAUCAACAGCUCCCAAAGUCCCCGAUCUAAACUCUCCGCACUCAUUAUCACUCUCUUCUUCCUCUUUCUCUAGAUCUACAUCUGCUGCUCUUCCAGUUCGUUGCUGCUGCUGCUCUUCCACUCGUUUGCUGCUGCUCUUCCACUCGCUUGCUGCAACCACUUACUGGUAUAUUUCUUUAUUUAUUUUUUUUUUGGCUGCAUUUUGAGUGUAAUUCUUUUUGUUUAGAUUGGACCCAUAUCAUGUUCAAUUCGGCAAAUUGGAUUCAAUUGGGCAAAUUGGAUGUUGUUAUGUUCAAUUAGUUUUUUAGGCAAAUUAAUUGGGUGUAGUUCUUGAUUAUCUUGUGCAAGAUUUGCUCUGGUUUUAAGUGGCAUGUGGAAACUGUUUUAAGUGGCAUGUUCAAUUCGGCAAAUUGGAAACUGUUCUUGAUUAUUUUCUUUGGAUUGUUUCAGAUUCUAGGUCGUAGCAAUGAGCUUAUUUAAAUUGUUUCAUUUCAUACCAAAAAAGCCUAUGUAUAUGAAUAAGGAUUAAUUUUACUUCUUCGCUAGCUAUAGUUGCUUUUGUGGAGCUUUUUGAUUAUUUGAAUUCUGUGAAUUCUUUGUUUUCUUUCCCAAAUGAUUCCACUCUAUAAAAUAUAUAUUGUGCUUGGCUAGAAUUUUCUUUUUGAUAAUUGCAUCUUGUACAUUGGCUUAACCUGUCAAGAAUGAGAAUGAUGGAAGAUGCCUAUCUUGGAAAUAAUAUAUUGAGUUACAUAGUACCGGUUCCAAAUAGAGAGGCUUAUGCUUUUUUUUUCAUUUCUUUGUUUCUUUUACAUGUUAUCCAGCUUUAAUUUAACAAUAUUGAAUUUUGAUUUUGCUUCCCUGUGGAUGCUUGGUAGAUUGAAAGUGAGAAACUAUCUCUUCAAAGGUUCGUGAUAAAACCUACAAUGGAGCAAUAUGAAGUUUUAUCUCCAGCAAGUGUCGCAGAGAUGAAUGCUACAAGAGAUGGAAUUGCAGCUUUUAUGUGGCAUGAUUACGUACGUAAUGCAUAAUGUGUAUCAUGUAGUUUUUUUAUAAUUAUUUUGUUUAAAUCAUGUGUUGUAAUAUAUAUCUUAAUUAUUUAGUGUAAAAACAAUGACAAUGUCAAACUUUUUUUUUAAUUAAUCUUAAUUCUUAAACUUUAUUAUCAUGUAAUUUUUUUAUAUUAAAUUUGGUUAAAUUAUUUUGUUGUAUUUGUGUGUAUUAGCUAAAUAAUUAUUUUAUGACUAUAAAUACAAUGUAAAUGAUUAGUAAAAACUGUUUUUGGAAAAAAAUUACCAAACGCAUAUUCUCUGUUUUUAUCAUUUUCAACUGUGUCUACUAAACGCAUAUUACUGUUUUCAGUUUUAAAAUAUAGGAUACAUAAAAUGAUACCAGACGCAUAUUUAAAUUCGAAAUACAGUAACUGCAAAGCACCAUUUUCAUUUUCGUUUUUAUUCUCAGAAAAUACAGAUUAAAAAACAAUACCAAACAGGCCCUAAGUAUCUCACGCGAAAUCUUCUUUGUCAAUGCUCCAAAAUUGCUACAGCAACAAUACUAUAGCAAUAGUGCUACAACAUUGGCUUCGGCACCUGCACUGUUCCAGACUUGUUUCAAUUCUUCUAUAACCAUGUUCUUUCCUCAUCUUUGCAAACCUAUUGCACCAACAUUCUUUCCUUGAAAUUUGAGCUUCCAGUCACCUAUAAUUAUGUAUACGAUCUAAGCACACAUAUUAUUCUAAAACAACACAAUUUAUUAAAAAUAAACUAAAAUGGAUAUUCAUGCAAAAUAUAACUAAAAUGCAAUAAAAACAUGUCAUUUAUUCUCUAAGUGUCAUGAUAACUCUCAUUUGAUAAAGUUAUCACACUCCCCUUAAGGAUUGCUUUUAGAACAAAGAGGCCACAUUUUGUUCGGGUGUAUAUAGGGCCGUGGUGUUUUAACAACCCAAACAUUCUGAGUACCAAAUUUUAUUAAAAAAAGUCCAAAUAAACAAACUAGGUUUUGGCCUCUUUUUUAAUAAUCUUAAAUAUCACGAAUUUAUAAAAAUAGGUAAAUUUAAAAUAUUUUAUAAUCUUCUACUCUAAAUAAGUAAACAUAUAUAUAUAUAAAUAAACAUAUGAAAGUAAUAAGAAAAAUAUGCAAAUAAUUUUAAAUUGUUAGAUUAUUUCUCAAUUAGCCUUUUACGGUAAGGACAAAUUAUGAAGCAAUAGUGAGAUUUUAUAAUAAAACUAAUGAAAAGAACUUAAGUAAUAAAAGAUGGUUAAAUUUUAUUAAUACUGAACAUAUCAAAGGAGUAGAUAAUAGAUUGACUGAUUAUUUAUGUAGAGAAAUAUGAACAUAUCAAAGAAGGAAAUGGUUACAAAGUGGAAUUUGAACAUAUCAGAGGAAUGGAUAAUAAAUUGACUGAUUACUUAAGUAGAGAAAUUUAUUCUAACAUACUUUAUGAUUUUGCAGGUGGACAACGAUUGUAUUGGUCUACCAACUUUUCAAAAGGGGACUAAUUUAUCUUUCAAGUAGACAACAUCUGGAAUGCAAAAGUUGAUAGUCGAAAAAUUUUAGCAACUUCAAAUGCAUUAACAUUUUAUUUUUAAAAAAUUCAAAGUAAACCUAAAAGCAAAAAUUUUAGUUUUUAUGUAGUCUUUAAAGGUUUUACACUAGAUAUGUACCAUACUUGGCUAGAAGUUCUUAGGAAAAUUACAAAUUUUUAAAAACUUAAUAAUCGAGGAUUUUAUGAUCUCAAAUCAACUCUUGAUAUUGCAAAACAGCAAAUUGGUCUAACUUUUUUUUCAUAAGUUCAUUAACAAAAGAUGUAGCUAGUAGUUUACCUCAGCAUACAUCACCAUGUAUUCAAAAUACACAAGGUAUUGGAGUUGCUUCAUCUUCUACUAACAUUUAUGUUUUUACGAUGAUUGCAGAACAAUAGUAAAAAAAUUUUAAAAGAUUAAAUGAUAGGUGCAGAGAUUUGUAUGAAGGAAGAGAUUCUCUAAAGGAUAAGUUCAAUACUUUAUCAACCCCUCUAGUAAAUGAGGGUAAAAAAACCUUUAACCUCACUGGUCAAAGCAGAUACUGAGUGGAAAAUAUUGAAUCCAUGUGAGAUGGAAAUGAGAGAAAGUAUAACCUUUUUCUUUACGCAUAUUGAAUUUUCAAAACAAUCCUACUAUGGCCGACUUAUCAUUAAAAAACAUCUGGCCUAAAUACAAAAUGACAAAAUGGAGUUCAUUUAGAGUUUUCUUCGAGAUUAUGCCAAACACAACUAUGAAACCCCAAAAAUUUGCUCGCCAAACACCUGGAUUUCUCAUCUUACAGAAGACUUAUUAUGGCAAUACUCAUAGUGUUUACCUAAGAAUUGACUGAUUUUUUCAAGAAAUACCACUUGAAUAUACAGACUGUAAGAGCCAUCUCACCUAUAGUAUUGUAAGAGUUGGCAUUCAUCUUGGACUAUCCAAACUAAUAGAACUAAAAUUCAGAGAUAAAACACUAAUAUUAACUCUACACUUAUUGUUAGAUUUUGGUUUUCUUAAUCAAAUUAUUGUUCGAGACCCAGACCAAACAUAUGCAUUUGGAAGAAAGUUUAGCAUCAACUAUGUUUAACUUAAUGGCAAUGGAAAAACAGUUCAUGGUGGCCUACAUCCAAUCAAAAGCACGAGCACAAAGAUUCAAGGUAGAAGUAUGUUAUAAGUUUCAAGCCCAAUAUUCUAUUUUUCUCAAAGGAUCGAACACCAUGAGAGAACUUCAUAACUUAGAAGGUUCAACUAUAUCUUGGAUAUACACUACCAAUUCCUUAACUAAGCAGACUCGACAUUGGAGAAACAAAAUAAUAGUAAGGGAAUUUAAGAUUAGAGAAUGCAUUGAUCAUGCUAAAUUAAACGCUGAAGACUUGACUUUAAUCAAAAAGUAUAUUCUCGCUAGAAUAUACAUGAAAUCGCUUUUAUCUUUGAGGCAAAAAAUGAUCAGCUUAUAGAUUUCUAUUAAGAGCAAUACAAAGAUGAUUUUAAGGCUUUCAAAUCUGUCAUAGCAGAACAACUAGGCGAAGAAGAAGAUGGUAGAGACUUCUACGACAAUGUAGAUAAUGUUAAGGCUCACAACUUUAACAACAUGCUAGAACCAUGACUCAACAUUGGUCCACUCUCUAAUUAUAUACCCUUCACUCACUACCUUUUUAAAGCGCAACUUUAGAAAGAAAAAGCUAUGGUGAAAAUUGUAUUGACACUCUCUUUAGCCACAUAAAAAUUAAAGAAGUGUUUUAAUCCACACACGUGGAAAACAAAAAAUAGAAAGCAGCAAAGGAUAACGAUAGGAAGCUAGGAGGAGCUCUAUAAAUAGAAAAAAAGUUUCUUUUAUUUAGCAAGAUCCACUAGAUCACAAAAGAGAAGAAAUCAGAUAAAAAAUAUAAAAAAAAAUUGUAACAAAUUUCAAUCUAUAAAGCUCUUAAGUUCUUAUUCAAUUACUAGAAGAUAUUUCAAGUAAGUUAAUUUAUUCAGCAUAAUCUACUGUAACUAAGUUGUUUAGUUCUUUUUCAAUAGAGAAACUCAGUCUUUUGUAAACUUCUAUGUGUUUAUAAAUGAACGACUUUAUAUGUUGCAGAUCUUUCAUUAUAAAUCAAGUAUCUUUUUAUUUGCUGAUAACAAAUGUUUUUUUAUUUGUGAAGAAUAAAAUUAGAGUCUAAACAAAACUUAGGUUUCUAGAAAAACCAAAAACCUUGAAGAAGGAUCUUUAAGUACCCAGUUUUACUCGUAAGUAUUGUUUUAGCCUAAGGAUAGGUGUUUUAGGGAAGAAUGGAGGUUUUGUGUUGGGAUUUCCAUACCCCUAAGAGAAAGAAGUUUUUUUAAUUACAAAAAUUGAAUUUAAUUAAAAGGUCUGAUUUUAUAUUUUGAACUUUUGGAAAACAAUAUUUGGAAAUAUUCUUAAAAAGGAUACGAAUUUGGUUAGUAUUUGCAACAAAACACUUGAUUUUUCAAUCAGUUUGACAUAAAUUUGCAAAAGAAUGGGAGUAUCCAGUAGAGAAGAACAAUUGUUUAUAAGAUUUUUAAAUAAUCUAACUUGCAUGCUGUUAGAUAAUUAUACUUGUUUUACUUUACAAAAUUAUUCUGCUAAAGUAUUUAGUGAAUACAUUAAACAAGCUGAUAAUUUAGGAAGACUGGCCGUAUUAAAAAGUUAGAUAAAUCAUAAUAUUAAAUUAAGAAGUAUAGUAGAUAAAGGAAUAGAAGUAGCAUUUAACGAAGGAUAAAAUAUAGGAAAUAGAGAAAACAACACUCCUGAAUGAUUAAUUUAGAAGAAGUUAUAAUUAGCAAUAUUGUAAAUAGUAAAUCUUUGGUAUUAUUUACUUUUGAGUAAAUGCUCAUUUAGUCCCUAUAUUUUAAGAUUAGUGUCCGUUAGUCCCUGUAUUUUUAAAAAUGUCUCGAAAGAUCCAUUCCGUUAAAGUAUUGAUACCCCUACCGUUACUUUUUAUUUUAUUUGGUUUACUUUUACAAUAUUACCCUUUUAUAAUAAUUUUUUUAUUUGGACAUUAAUAAAAAGAAAAUAAUUAAAUUAUCAAUUUCACCCUAGAAAAAAAAAUUAUAUUAAUUUUUUUGCAAGCACCAUUUGCACACUUGGUAGUUUGCAUAUAAUUUUUGACAAUAUAAUUUUUGACAAUUAAAAAUUAAUAUAUAUAUAUUUUCCUUUUUAGGGUUAAAUUGGUAAUUUAAUUAUUUUCUUUUUAUUAAUGUCCAAACAAAAAAAUUAUUAUAAAAGGGUAAUAUUGUAAAAGUAAGCUAAAAGAAAUAAAAAAUAACAAUUUAAUUUUUGACAAUUAAAAAUUAAUAUAAUUUUUUUGGGUUAAAUUGAUAAUUUAAUUAUUUUCUUUUUAUUAAUGUCCAAAAAAAAUUAUUAUAAAAGGGUAAUAUUGUAAAAGUAAGCUAAAAGAAAUAAAAAAUAACAAUUUAAUUUUUGACAAUUAAAAAUUAAUAUAAUUUUUUUGGGUUAAAUUGAUAAUUUAAUUAUUUUCUUUUUAUUAAUGUCCAAAAAAAAUUAUUAUAAAAGGGUAAUAUUGUAAAAGUAAGCUAAAAGAAAUAAAAAAUAACAAUUUAAUUUUUGACAAUUAAAAAUUAAUAUAAUUUUUUUGGGUUAAAUUGAUAAUUUAAUUAUUUUCUUUUUAUUAAUGUCCAAAAAAAAUUAUUAUAAAAGGGUAAUAUUGUAAAAGUAAGCCAAAAGAAAUAAAAAGUAACGGUAGGGGUAUCAAUACUUUAACGAUAUGGAUAUUUCGAAGUAUUUUUAAAAAUAUAGGGACUAAAUAGAUAUUAUUCUUAAAAUACAGGGACUAAAUGAAUUUUUACCCUUUACUUUUCAUUGUUCGCAGCUCAAUAGUCAAUAGAUCUAAAUUAGUAAUAACACGAGAAUACCUUAAAAACGAUUCCCAAUUAUUGGAAUCUAAAUUCAAGUAGUUUAGGGGUGAAUAGGAGACAUUUAAAUCUUUUUACUUUUUCUAAGGAAGUUUUAGUAAAUAUAGCAGAAAGGCCCUCAUUGCACUAAACGUGGUGCUGAGUGUGGUGUGAAUGUCACUAUCUUUCCUAUUGCGAAAUUAAGAUCCGGCCGCGUAUGCUAUGCAGAGACCACAAGAGUGAGGGACCGUCAUUAAUCUGUCUAUUCCCAUUUAUAUCUUUCUUUAACUUUGUCUCUAGCUAUUGACUCACCAAAAUAUCGAUUAACGAAUCAAAUUUAAAAGAUUAUGGUUGCGAUGUCAUGCCAUUUGUAUAUUUGAUGUUGCAUUGCCUUCAUUUAAGGAGAUAAUGAAGACAUCUUCUUAAAAAAAUAUGUUUCAUUUCCUCGUAAAUUACAAAUGUAACAAUGAUUAUAAUUAAGCUUUGAGUGUAGUUGCAAAUUCUUUAGAGUGCAAUAGCCGACAAAGAUACUCUUUCAUGGGAUUGAUAUCUGAUUGGUGCUUUGUUCCUCAAUCCUCAAGCAUUUGCCGUCAUAAAUUAAAUCUUUCUGUCCUGUUUUUUGUGAGAAAGAGGGCACAUACUACAACGAAAUUCAGCAACAUUUAACAAAUCAACAAAUGAAAAAUGUAAGGUUGGGAUGCGUGUCAACUUUUUUUAAUUUACAAUUUACUGAUAUAAUACAAUUUCAAAUCUAUUGAAAAUACUUUGUAAUAUAGAUAAUUCUAUCAUCUAUCCAAUAUAGUUUGAAAGUUUGCUCCCACUAACAACUCGAAAGAAAUCUACUAUAUUCUAGAUUUUGUGGUAAAGAAAAAAAAACCGUAAUAGCUCGAACUAAUUUUUAUUAAUGUUUAUAUAUAAGUACUUUUUCAAUCCGUGAGUUCUGGAUUAAAAAUUCAAAGACCACCAUUUAUCAUUAUAUGGUAGGCUCUAUCAUAUGCAGUCAAUAAAUUAAAAAGAAAAAAAUGUUAGGGAAUCCAACAACCCCAAUCGGAUAUCUGAGAAUUCUAACUUUUUUUUUUAAAUUUAUUUCCUACCAAUUGGUGGCCUUUGGAUACAAAUUCAAAGACCACCAUUUUGUUCUGGAUAUUUUUUCAAUCCAAAAUUCCUGAAUUGAAAAACCACUCAUACUUGUACACACUCACAUCUCCAGCAUUAAUCAAUUGUUGUUAAGUAACAUCCUUAAUGCAUUUAUUAGAGUCCUAAAGCAUUGGCUAAACAAAAAAGAUUCUUCUCAUGUUAUCUCAUAACGAAAUAAAAUUAAAGGAUUAUUUCUUGACCAGAGAUUCAUGGCAAUAAAAAGACUGUUUUCAUCCGUUACCAAAGAAACAAAUUGAUAAAUAUAGAAAAAAAAAUUAAGUUCUCUUUUAAAUUAUUGAACGAAAGAGACAUUCUUAUUAAAAGAGGUUCUUAUUUCCACAAAAAGAACUUAUGGAAUGUUUUCCAUGAACAAGACCUUUAGCUUGGUUCGAUAAUGGGUUACCAUCUUCCUACAAGAAUUAUCAAAUUAAAACAUUUUAGUAGAUUAACUAUAAAAAGAUAAAAAUAUACUAUUUUUUCAUUAUCAUAUCUAUAAUUUUGAUUUUUUUUUAUUACGUAACUGUAGUUUUGUACCAAAAAAUAGUAUAAUAAUAAAUCAGUACUUUGAAACAAACGAUAGCUUUAAAAAAAAAAUUAAGAAGAUAGUGAAACCAACAAUGAAGAUAAUUAGACAACGGAUAAAUGGUUAUAGUUUAAUUAUACAAAUUUAUCAUGUUUCAAAUAAUUAAGUUUUACCACAUUUUAUUAUAAUAUGUGAUAAAGACACAUAUCAUAUUUGUAUAAUUAAACGAUAGCCAUUGAUCUGUUAUUUAUUUAUUUUUACUGUAGAUUUAACUAUUUGAACGAGUAUAUUUACCAUAUUAAUUCUUAAGGUCCAAGCAAAAACUUGCCUCACUCAACUACUUGCUUUUGAUUGCACUUAGAGGCACAGUAAAAAAAUAGUUGCUCCCGUAAAAAUUGAAACGAACCAACAUUUUAGUUCGAUUUCAUUCAGUUUAAUAGAUUUAAGAAAGUCAAUUUAUAUAAAAAAAAUUAAAAAUCACAAAAUUACAAAAUACAAAGGAAUUUACCAUUUAAAACCGAAGAAAUUUAACCGAAUUGAGAAUUGGUUUGGAUUAUAUUUUAUUAAAAAAGAAUCGAUCAGUUUAAUUCAAUUCAGAACCAAACCGACCCAUGUCCCCACCCUACUUACAGCAGAGGAAGAGAUCUUUUCUGAAUCGAAGAUUUAGGAGACACCUGCAAAAGAAAAGUGGUAGUCCUAAAAUACCUGUUGAUAACUCUGCUUUUACAUGUAUAUACAUCAUAUAAGGAUACUGAAAUAGAAGUGCUUGACUUACUGCUUUUUAAAUUCCCUUAAAAGUAUCUUCCUUCGAUCCAAGUUGAGGGAUCAUUCCUGUAAAAGAAUAUCAUUGGUAUCUGAACCUUAGAUUUUCUAAGUUAUCAUUAUCUUAAAGUUGCCUCACUUCUCUUGGUGUUGGCCUCAUCGGAACAAUUAGUUCCGUUGCCUUCCGGGUAACUGAUAGAACUUGAGAAAAUUUGGAUCCUAUUUGGGGACUGAGUUACUUGAACUUACAAUUUGCUGCCCCAAAGCCAAAGGUGUUCCAUUUAUAGUGGUAACAAGUCAACACGAGAGCCACGUAACACUUUCAGUAACUUUAUUUUUUUUAAUUAAUUCACGCAUCAUCGAAUUUGGAUCGGAGUCUUAAAAACACUGUUAUUUAUUAUUGGAAAGACCUAAUUUCACUUUAAAUUAAAAAUAAAAAUAAUUAAAAUUAUGUUUAAAAAUCAUGGAUCGCAGCAGGCCACUAGGGUAAUGCGGGAAUCAUACGUCUGCCAUUAAUUUUUUUUUUCCUUUUGUCUUUGUCACCCGUUAAGUCACUUUCAAACCGCAGAACAACUUAUGACAAAUUGACUCACCAAAAAUAUCUCCAGUUGUUUGGCAAUUUGGAUGGCUCAAAUUAAACAUAGUACAAUAAUGCCUGUAACUAACCCCACCUUUGAUCUUGUCAUUAGAGUGUGUUUGACACACUGUAUUAUAUUAUAUUAUUUUAAUAUUAAUAUAUUAUAUUAUACUGUAUUAUAUUAAUACUGUAUUACAAUAAUAUUGUACAAUACUUGAUGUUAUAUAAUAUAAAAAUAAAAAAAUAUACUAUUAUUGAAUGAUAAAUUAUUUAUUUAUUAAUUUAUAUUAAUAAUUAUAAUGUAAAAACAAAUAAAAUAAAAAUAUUAUAUUAAAUUAAAAACUAUAUUUAUUUAUUAUUUUAGUAUUAUAAUAAUAAUAAAGCAAAAAGCAAAAGUUAAAAGCAAAAGCCAAAAAAAAAAAAACAAAAAACAAAGCUAAUGCGUCAGUUGACGCAUUAGCCCCCCACCCCAAUCCCUUGCAAUUUUGUUCCAAAUAUGGGUUUGGUAUUAUUUUAAUAUGAACGGUAUUAUAAUACACUAUAAUCACAUGCACCAAACACACCCUCAUUUAUGGCGAGAAAGAAGACAUCUUCGUUACAAAAUAUGAUAAUAUUCGGAGUAAAAUAUGAAUGUACUUUUAUUUCACAAAUGAAGAAAUAAAAAACGUACGGUUGGGAUGCUUGUCAUCUUUUUCAUUUUUUUUAUUUUAUGAGUUACUACAAAUUAUUGUUAUCUUACAAUUUGAAAUCUAUUGAUAAUAAUUUAUAGUAUAUAAUUCAGAGGUCUACUAAUCAUAAUUUAGAAAUCUACUUCCACUAACAAGUAGGAGAGAAAUCUACCAUAUCUUUUUUUUUUUUGUGAUAAGGUAAAAUAAUAUUUUUUUUUUAAAUAAACCUUAAGAGAGGUAAAAUUUAUUAAAUGAAAAGGAAGGUACAAAGUCCAUAAAAAGCAACAAAGACAAAAAAAACCUAUAAAACAAUAUUAAAUCAUAAUGAAAUUAAGAAAAUCGGUACUUAGGAAUCUCCUAAGUAUCAUCAAGUAGAGGCUUAGGAAUCCCCUAAGUAUUUAAUAACCAAUGAUCUUCCAGGUUAUGACUCAGGUUUGAUCUGUACUUGACGUGUGAGCGACUUUAUCACAACUAAAAGCAACUAGCAAGAGAAAAUAUUCCUCUAAAUUUUAGAGAGAAAUUUUUUUUUACUCCAAUCUGUAUAAUGUAGCCUCCUUUUUUCUUUUAGAGAAAAUAAGCUAUUUUAUAUCUCUAUUUUGUGGAAACACUAAGCUCCAUAUUUAUAUAUUUUUUUAAUUCUAUUAAAUCACGUUUGAUUUAAAUUAAAAAAUAAUAAAAACCAAAAGUGGCCUUACUUGUUUUUGUGUUAUAGGGGCUCACCUUGUAAAAUAACACAAAGUUCCUUACACACAAGCAUAUUAAAUGGAGCCUCCUACUAAAUAAUAUAUUUAGGCUUUUAACCCAAAUAGCUAGUUAUCUUGCUUAUUAAUCAAGUAGCGGCGCAAUUAAUUAAAUGAGCUAACCCGAGGAUCAUAUGGGUACAUACAAUAGUGGCUACAAUAAUUAGACUUGUAAUUAAACUAACCAAAUUAUUUAAUUCCAAAUAUACUUCAGUAAAAGAUUAGAACUGACCUCCAUAAUUGUAUGCUAUCUAGGAUAGUGUUCUCAAAUAAUAAUUCAACCCAUGCCACAUUGAUUUCUUUACUGCAUAAUCUUUUGUACCACAUCGUUAAUUAAAUCGAUAUCUCAACUGUCCAAUCAAUUUAAUUAUAUCUUGUUCCUUGAUACUUACUGGUUUUCUCUACUGAUCAUUUUCAACAUACUAAAUAUGUUGACAUACUCUGGCCAAAGAAUUCUAUGAUCGAGUGUCGAAAAUCCAUCAAGAGAUGUGUUGUACAAAUUCUAUAUUGUUAAUCUAUAACUUCAAUACUCAUAAUUGCUCCCACCAAGAUACUGGGUAAUCUUGACUACAAGUGUGUGUCGUGCCCAUUGGUAACUCAAAUGAAAUAACAAUUACAAUUAUGAAAUUAUAACUAACUCAAGAUUAAAAUUACAGUAAAAUCAAUGUCUAUGAGAUUUAAUAAGUCUAACAGUUAUUACAAAGUUAAUUAAAUCUCAUAUGUGAUAUUAUUUAAUGUAAUCGUACUACAUCAAUAAAUUCGUACAUGAUUAAGACAAAUCAUUCAAUGAAUUUAUUACAAUCUAUACCUACAUGAUUAAAUAGCAUAUUUUCCCAACAAUAUAUCCACUAAAGCUUGCUGGAAAUCUGAGUAUGAUUAAUGUUGCAUAAAUCCUCCAUAGUUCCUUGAAUCAUCAUUCUCCUUAGCUCUUCUUGAAACCUCUCCAUAACUGACUGCGGCAAGCAUAUUGGUACAAAAUUUCCAGGCUCUCCAUUCUUGUUUUGGUGCUUAACAAAGAAGCUGAUCAAUUCUACAGCCCCAGCAGUUCCAGCAUAAAUUGGUUUCCCCCAUCCAAGAUCAACCUCUCCAAAUCCAAGAUUGCUUAGAUCCGAAACAAUGAAAUUUCCCCUAGUCGGGAACUUGAUUCGUCGCCCUUUGAUUACCAUAAGAUCCGCCACAGACCUUAUAUACUCAUCAUUCAUUUGAGCCUUUGCCUUUUUCACCAAUUCAACAGCGUAUCCUAUUGGAUUUUUGCAUAAUUGUUCAGCUUUUGAACAAACAGCCGGAAAUGCAAAGGCAUUGCCAUAAUAACCUGAAGGAAUAUCCGUUUUAUAACGUUUUCCACGUACGUUAAUAAUACAAGAAACUUGAGCAAUCUCUUCAGGUUCAAGCUUGAGUGCAAUUGUUCGACAUUUCCAUAUAAAAGCAGUUAAUAGAUCAAAUGUUGAACAGUCUUUGAGGUGAAAAGGAAGCUGAUUUCUUAGUGCUUUGGUCUCUUUGGCUCCAAAGUAGAACGAUUUGUGAGCCAUGUUGUCACUUGGAACCUCAUUGUUGUUUAUUUCAUCAUACUCAUGGUGGAUACAUGUAACUCGUGGGGGAUUUCUGGCAUUUAAGAUGUGUCGUUGCCAAAUUGGAAACAAGGUUGGUGAGCAUUUCCCACGUACCAUGUCCUCUAUGGCUUUUAAGAAUUGUACCAAACCAAAACCAUCACACAUUGUGUGGUUCAUACGUAAUGCAAAAAUGAAUCCUCCGCAUGUCAAACGUGUCAUCUAGAGAUAUAGAAUUAGUCAAAGUUUGAUUAUGAUGAUAAAAGAACAUGAUAUAUAUACCUUAAAAAAUCAUUAUAUAUUUUAAAAGUUACUAAAGAUCUCUUUAAUGAUUUUUCUUUUUUCACGUAUCAUUAUUAUCAUUAUUAGUAAUUUUUUAUAAUAACUGCAAACUCAACACAAACACAACACAAAAUUAUAGAACUAGCUGCAUGUCACAUGGUUAUUAAAUAGAUGAAUUUGGAUCACCCCGUUCAAUAAUCAUAUUGAGUUUGAAUUUAAAGUUUUCCAAAAAAACCAUGUACGUGUGGGAAUUGAUACAUUUAUUUAUUUAAACCAAGUUCAAAUUGAUAUUUUUAUUCCCUUUCUUCCCUAAAGAUGAUUCAAACUUGAAUAAUUAGUCAAAUAAUAUUAUUUAAAAACCACUCGUCUUAGCACUAAAUCAAUCUUCAUCAUAUAUUACUACUAUUUUUUUUUUCAAAUUCUAAAAUCACAAAAUAAACAUACAUACUAAUCAAAGUAAAGAGAGACUCACUUGAAUUAAGAACAAAGGGCAACCAAGAAUGCCUUCAGAGCCUGGAACAUCAUAAAGCAGUUGGUUCAAAUACGGGCAUGGUGGCUGAAUAUCAUCUCCAAGCUGCUCAAGUGUGAAGUUGGCAUCAGCCUCAAUAAACAAGACUCCUUCAGCAUUGCAUUCCACCAUAAGCUUGCGGUUGUAACCUUCUUUAAGCCUGCCAGCUAAAGGGUAGUAAAACACAAGUGCUUUACUUAUUGCUUCUCUAAUGACCUUAACAGGGUCUCUUCCUUGCAUUGAAGGUGAAGGGUCAUUCUUGUAAAAGAAUAUUACUGGUACACGAAACCUUAGGCUUUCUUGGUCAUCUAUAUCUGAAAGUUGCUUCACUUCUCGUGGUGUUGGCCUCGCCGGAACAAUUAGUUCCGGUGCCUGCCGAGUAACCGACAGAACUUGGGAAAAUUUUGAUACCAUUGGUUAGGGAGUAUGAGUUUCUUGAGGUAGAUAUGUAAUUGGUUGCCUCAACGGUGCAUGCUUCAUCCUUCAUUUAUAGUAGUGAGCAGUAACAGGACGAUAGAACAGAAGACACACGUCAACACGAAAGCCUCUGUCAAAUCACCGUGCUAAAACGAGUAAUUUUAAUUUUUCACGGGUCUAUAUAAUUGGGAAAAUGCUACUUGCCCCGAGUCAAAUCCCGGGUCAAACCCCGAAUUUAAAACGGCUCCGUUUUACUAAGCAAAAGAAUGCACUGUUUGAGCCAAAAUUGUUUUCCCUUUCCUUCGUUGAUUGAGGUCAACUCCAGCCAUUAUUGUCCUGAAAUCAAGUCUUCGCGCAUACCCAACCACCCCACUGCCACCACCGACAGCCACCACCGUUUCAUUUGUACACCGGAGAUAAUCACCCACAACUCUAGUCCCGAUUGUGUUUGUGUUUGUGCAUUUCUGUUUGUGUUUGUUUGAAAUUUGGUCAAAAUUUUUAUACAAUAUCCAUCAACACAAAGCUAAUCAAUCACCACCGAAUGAGGAAAAAAAACAUGAUAUCUUGGUCGAUGUGUGAUCUGUAGAGAUUUUUAAAUUUUUUGGCUCUUUAUCAUUAUCCGUGAAUUUUGUGAUAUGGGUUUGUGGCAGUGAUUGAAGGGUUUUAAUUUCAUAUUAAACAUAUAUGUUUCAUUUUGUAUGUUGAAGCUCAUCUUUUUAAGGGGAUAAGAUCUUUGACCUAGGUAUAAUAUGUAAUUGCUUAAAAGUAGAUGAGUUGUGAAAUCCAUUUGUUACGUCAUAAGAUGAAGAAAUACAGGAAGAUGAGGAUCCUAUACUGGAAGAUGUAAUUGGAGUAGUUUAAGAAUGGAAAAAAGGCAGCAUUCCAAGUGAAGUCUAUAAUGAUGAAAUUAUGGCUGUGGAAGUACUCAAGGAUGAAAAUUCAAAGAUGAGAAAGUAUAUUGCUAGAAUAACAAUUAAGGGACAGCUGGGAAGCAAGGAAACCAAAAAUGAAAAGUGAUAGAGAAACAGCAGAUGAAAGAGACAGGCAAAGGAAAAGGAAAAGAAUUGUUACUGUCGAAACGGCGUCAUUUUACUAAUUUUUCGGGGCUUGACCCGGGGUUUGACCCGGGGUAAAUAGCAGAACUCAUAUAAUUGGGAUCAAAGUAAUAAUUGAUAUUUUAAAAUUUUAAAUGAUAUAUUAUUUAUUAAAUAAUUGAUAAUUUUUUAUAAAAUUUUAGUGAAUUAAUUAUAUCAUUUUACUAACAAAUUAAUAAAUAGGGAGUCCCUAUAUUACAUUUAAUGUAACAUACACAACCCACAAGAACCACACAAAUUAUAGGACCCACAUAAUUAUGUGGUUCUUGUGAAUUGUGUAUGUUACAUUAAAUGUAACAUAGCAAAAUUCUAAUAAAUAUUAUUUUAUUUAAAAUAUAAAAUUUAAAAUACGUACUGCUCCUAUUAAGAUAAGGAUUGGAUAGGCUCCGCGCAACGUGCAUCAUACUCUAUAUUGUGAAAAACAUGUGAUGAAUUGGAGAUCACGUUCCUCGCAAGUUUAACUGAAGUAGACAGAUGACGACAUGAGUGCAAGGGUAGGAUUGAUUGGAUGGAAAAGGGUGGACACAGUGAUUAAUUCUCCAACUAUCAUUUCUCUGAUUGUGCAGGUUACAUUCCCCUUAGCUUGAAUUGUGAAAUCAAGUUCCAGCCGCGUAUGCAAUGAAGAGACCACAAGUGCAAGGGACCAUCAUUAAUCUGGCCAUCUUCUAAUAAACAUGUUUAAAGGAGAAUGCAGACAUCUUCUAAUAAAACAUGUUUUAUUUCCGAGUAAACUAUAAAUGUAAUAAUGAUUAUAAUUAAGCUUUGGGUGUUGUUGCAAAUCGGCAAAUAUACUCUUUCAUGCGAUUGAUAGUUGAUUGGUGCUUUGUUCCUCAAGCAUUUGCCGUCUCAAAGUAAAUCUGGCUGUCAUUUUGCUUUUUGUGAGAAUGCAUAUAAUACAAUGAAACUAAGCAGCAUUUAACAAAUCAACAAAUGGAAAAAGUAAGGUUGGGAUGCAUGUCAAUUUUGUUUUUUUUUUAAUUUUUGUUUAGAGGUAUUACAGCAUUUUGAUAUAUUACAAUUUAAGAUCUAUUGAAAAUAAUUUCUAAUAUAUAUAAUUCUAUCAUCUAUCCAACGUAGUUUAAAAAUUUGCUACCACUGACAACUAGAGAGAAAUCAACCAUAUUCUACAUUUAAUUUUGUAGUAAGAAAAGAGAACCCUAUGACAGCUCGAUCUAAUUUUUAUUAAUGUAUAUAUAUGGGUGCUUUUUUUUGUCAAUCUGAGAGUUUUGGAUUAAAAAUUACAAGGCCACCAUUUGUCUAUGUAUGGUAGGUUUCAUCAUAUGCAGUCCCUAUAUUUUAAGAUUAGUAUCCAUUUAGUUCCUAUAUUUUUUAAAAUGCCUCGAAACAUUCCUGCCGUUAAAGUAUUGAUACAUCUACUGUUACUUUUAAUUUCUUUUGGCUUACUUUUACAAUAUUACCAUUUUAUAAUUUUUUUUUGUUUGGACAUUAAUAAAAAGAAAAUAAUUAAAUUACCAAUUUAACCCUAAAAAAUAAAAAAUUAUAUUAAUUUUUAGGGAUAUUAUCAUUUUCCCACCAAAGGUAUUCUGACACAUCAUGUCAGUACCACGAUUUGGUAAAACUAUCAAUUUACCACCAAACGUUUAAACUGUUAGCAUUUUCCCACCAUUCCGUUAAAACUCCGUUAAUAUGUAACAGAAAAUUCAUAAAAGGUCAAUUUUACCCCUGAAGUGUAAAAGACCAUGUAAUUAACCUUUUAUGAAUUUUGUAAUUAAAUUAUCAUUUGUUGUUCUUCCUUCUUAAAGGACAAAAAUUACCCCUUAUAAAUUUUAUAAAAUUGACCGUGUGGUGUUAAGUACUUUUAUAAAUUGAUUUAAUUUAUUUAAUUUUUAAAGGUCAAAUUUAUUUAUUAAAUUGCCGAGCUAAAGACAAUUUAUUCUACUACUAAACAUCAAUUUAUGAAAGGGAAAAAAAAAAGAAUGUGCAAAAGAAGCAAUUUAAUCUUUGAUAUGAUGAUAAUAAUUUUACACAAAAAAUUAAAUAAAUAAAUUUGCCCUUUAAAAAUUAAAUAAAUUAAAUCAAUUUAUGAAGUACCUAGCACCUCAUGGUCAAUUUUACAAAAUUUUAUAAAGGGUAAUUUUUGUCCUUUAAGAAUGAAGAACAACAAAUGAUGAUUUAAUUACAAAAUUCAUAAAAGGUUAAUUACAUGGUUUUUUUAUACUCCAGGGGUAAAAUUGACCUUUUAGGAAUUUUCCGUUACAUAUUAAAUGAGUUUUAACGGAAUGGUGGGAAAAUGCUAACAGUUUAAACGUUUGGUGGUAAAUUGAUAGUUUUACCAAACCGUGGUACUGACAUGAUGUGUCAGAAUACCUUAGGUGGAAAAAUGAUAAUAUCCCUAAUUUUUAAUUGUCAAAAAUUAAAUUGUUACUUUUUUAUUUCUUGAUGAGGUAUUUGAAAAUUCCAACUUAUUUUUUUUUUUAAGUUAUUCUGCUGUACCGUACAUCCGUGUAUGCAAACUACCAAGUGUGCAAAUGGUGCUUGCAAAAAGCAUUAAACAAUUGUUGAUAAGUAGCAUCCUUAAUGCAUUUAUUACAUGCCUAAAGCAUUGACUAAUAAUAAAAAAUAAUCUUCUCAUAUUAUUGCAUAACAAAAUAAAACUAAAGGAUUAUUUCUUGACUGGAAAUUCAUUGCAAUAAAAAGACUUUGCUUACAGCAGUUACAAAAGAAAAAAAGUUAUGAUGAAUAUAGAAGAAAUUAAAUUCUCUUUUAAAUUAUUGAACGAAAGAGACACUCUUAUUUCUAUCAGAAUAACUUAUUCAAUGUUUACCAUGAACAAGACCAUUAGAUUGAUUUUCGGCAAUGAGUUACUAUCUUACUACAAGAAUUAUCAAAUCAUAUUUUCCUCUUUUCUUUUACACCCAAAAUCUACCUAAAACACAAAUGACAUGUGAUACUCAUUUUCUGAUACUGUAAUCAAAUGGAAAAUUAUCAGCACAAAUCAAUACGAGUGCCUCUAUUACUUUCAAUAAUAAUAAUAAUAAUAAUUUAAAAUUGGGGGAACUAUCGAACCAUAUUAGUAAACGUUAAAAAUGUGUAAUUUCAUCAUCAUGUGUAUGUAUAAUGUAUGUUCAAUGAAUCAAAUUUCCAACACGUAUGCAUUAGAGACCACAAUUUUGUGAAAGUGUACCCACACUUGAUGUGAUGUUCUAGUAUAGAGAUGUCAAAUAGAUGAGGAUUUCAAUGAGCGAUUUUUGUUGCGGAAGUGCCGAUUGAGCAAUUAUCAAUAAUUCAAUAUUAUGGUGAUUGUAACUUUUGGAGAAAUGCAAAUAUAGUGAUAAACAACUGCAAAGAAAAGAGGACACAAUAAUUUUUGUGGUUUGGCUUAAAGCCUGCAUCCGCUAAUAAAGAUUGGAAAAUAAUUUUUCUAAUAAAUGGGAGUUAUAAAAUUGAGAGUUACUCUCAAAACCUAAUAACCUAGUACAUCUAAAUGGUGGAAAUGCUGUAAGAGCUUACUUGCAAAUGCUCUUAACUCUCACAAUUUAGGAUACUUUACUCUCUCCAAAUUAAUCUCUGUUUGUAUGGUGUGUUUACUUACUGUAGUGCGAGUGAGAAGUGUGAAAUCCUCAAACUCUAGUGUUUACAUGCUUAUUUAAGAGUGUGAGUGGAAUCUCACUCUAUGGGUCCUACUUUUAGAGUGAGGAUUGAAACUCUAACUCCCAUGAGGGGAGGUGGGAUUGAGAACCACUCAAUCCUCUUCCUUUUUUAUCAUUCCUUUUUAAAAUAACAUAAUUAUAUUUAUUAAAAUAAAAUAUAAUUAUAUUUAUUAAAAUAAAAUAAUAUUACAUUUAUUUAAAAAUAAUAAUAUAAUAUUCAUAGAGAAUUAAUAAUAUUACUAUACAGUAUCUUUAUUUGAAAAAUAAUAUUAAUAUAUUUAUUUAAUUUGAGAUUUUUGAAACUCCAAUGUUGAGAUUUUUGACAUUUUUAAUUAGAUAAAUAUAAUUUACUUUAUAGCUGGUGAAAUCAGAGAAUAGCCAAAACGAAUUUAUAUCUUUGUAUGCAGCCCUUCAAACUUGAAUAGAUUUUUGCAAUCUACAAGCAUAAGAAAAGUUAGCACAAACGAAACCCUAUUGAACCAAAUGACUGGAAGUAUUUGUGAUGACAAUAGCAGCAUCGAUGAAGCGGAUGCUAAUCUUGGUUUGUAGCAAUGAAGGCGAAAAUCUGAAAUUUUUUAAAAUUCAUUUAACCCAUUUGCAUCCAACUAAAGUUUUGUUUAGAAGAGGCAAUCAAAACUUUUGCAUUACACAAUAGAAAACAGUGGAGUAGAAUUAUAAAUGUAAUCAUGAUUACAAUAAGCUUUGGGUGUAGCUGCAAAUUCUUUAGAGUGCAAUAGCCAACAAAUAUACUCUUUUAUGGGAUUGACAGUUGAUUGGUGCUUCGUUCAGAUGCCGUUAUAAAUUAAAUCUUUCUGUCAUUUUCUUUUUGUGAGAAAUUAAGCAACAUAUAACAAAUCAACAAAUGGAAAAAGUAAGGUUGGGAUGCAUCUCAAUUUUUUUGCUUUUUUUUUUUUUUUGUUUUUUGGAAGUAAUACAACAUGCUAACAUAUUACAAUUUAAGAACUAUUGAGAAUAAUUUGUAAUAUAUGUAAUUCUACCAUCUAUUCAACAUAAAUUGAAAAUCUGCUCCCACAAACAAAUAGAGAGAAAUUUAUCAUAUUCUACAUUUUAUGGUAAGGAAAGAGAACCAACUAAUAGCUCGACCAAAUUUUUAUUACUGUGUGUGUGUGUAUAUCUAUAUAUGCUUUUUCAAUCCGAGAGUUCUGGAUUAACAGUUUUGGAUUAAAAAUUCGAAGGCCACCAUUUGUCUAUGUAUGGUAGCCUCCAUCAUUUGCAGUCAAUAAAGGGGCUUGGGAAUCUAACAGCCCCAAAUCCAAUGAGGUAUUUGAAAAUUCCAACUUAUUUUUUUUUUUAAGUUAUUGCAUACCAAUUGGUGGACAUCAUUUUAUUUUGGAUAUUUUGGAUACUUUUUCAAUCUAACAUUUCUGAAUUGAAAAACUACUCACACACACGCAUGCAUACACACACCCGCCCGCGCACAAACACACAAACACGUACACUGAUCAGAUCUCUAGCAUUAACCAAUUGUUUUUAAGUAGCAUCUUUAUUAGAGGCCUAAAGCAUCGACUGAAUAAAAAAGAAUCUUCUCAUACUAUUGCAUAACAAAAUAAAACUAAAGGAUUAUUUCUUGACUGGACAUUCAUGGCAAGAAAAAGACUUUUCUUUCAUUGGUUAAAAAAAAUUAUGAUGAAUAUAGAAGACAUUAGAUUCUCGUUUAAAUUAUUGAACGAAAGAGAUAUUCUUAUUAAAAGAGAUUAUUAUUUCUACCGAAGGAAUUUAUGGAAUGUUUACUAUGAACAAGACCUUUAGCUUGAUAUUCGGUAAUGGGUUACUAUCUUACUACAAGAAUUAUUAAAUUAUAACAUUUUAUUAUAUUAACUAUAAAAAGAUAACAAUUUGCUAUUUUUUCGUUACCAUUAUUAGUCAAAAGAUAAUAUCACGAUUGACUUCACAAAAGUCAAAUUUACUUCUGCAUCAAAACUAACCCAAUAAUUAAAAUAUUUACCAAAAUCAAAACCAAUAUUUACCAAUGACAGAAAAUUCAAACUUACAACUUGCUUACAUCCACACCUUGCAAGAAUUCAACCACUUUCAUAGAUGCUACUCUAUAUUCCUUUUUUAUUUUUUUAUUUUUUCAACUACUUAUAAUUUUAUUUAUGAUGUGUACAAUUUUAGCAUAAUUGUAGUUUGGCACCAAAAAAUAGAAUAAUAAUAAAGCAAUCCUUUGACACAAACAAUAAGUUUUUUUUUUUCAAUUUUUAGGAAAAUCAAGUAGCCAAACUGACAAUGAAGAAAUAUAGACAACGGAUUAACGGCUAUAAUUUAAUUACACAUAUUUAUCAUUUUUUAAGAGAAUUGAGAUUUACUAUAUUUCAUGAUAAUUUAUGAUAAAUAUGCAUGCCACAUUCGCAUAAUUAAAUUAUAACCGUUGAUCCAUUAUCUAUUUAUCCUUAUUAUAGGCUUGACUACUUGGACGAGUAUAUUUCCCAUAUUAAUUCUUAAGGCUGAAGCAAAAACUUGCCUCACUCAACUAGUUGCUUUUGAUUACAAAUGGGGGUGGGUUAAAAAAUCGUUGCUCCAAAAAAAAUCAAACCGAAUUGAUAGUUUAUUGCAAUGAGUUAAAAAAAAAAUAGUUUAUAUAAAAAUAAAAAAUCACAAAAUACAAAGAAAUUUACGAGUUAAAACCAGAAAAGGAUUAACCGAAUUGAUUCUCAAUUCGGAUUAGAAAUUUAUAGAGGAAACAAGGAAUCGGACGUUUUCGAAAUCCAUAUAAGAAUUUGCAAUAAAUGAUAUUUUUUCUUUUUUAAAUUAUAGCAUACUUGUAUGUGGCUCACUUUAGCAAUCUUUAGUUGUUUUCAGUUUAUUAAUAUGAAUUAUAUUUAUUUUGUAGAAAUAAAGAAUAUGGAAAAAGCCACUAUAGUUGAAGAUCUAGAGUUGCGGAAAAUUUAGAAAAUUGGGCAACACGAGAAAGAGAGUGAGGGAGCGAGACAAGAGAUAGAUUGAGAGUGUUGUAUUUUGAGAACAACAGUGAGUUUUUAUAUUGAGCACAAAACACAGUAUUUGGUGCUCAGUGUUGUUCUCACUUUGUAAAAAGUGAGAAUAUCAUUUUCUUAAUAAUAAAUCAAUCAGUAAUAACUUUAUUUUAAAAAUUAUUUUUAAGAAAAUUAAGGUAGCCAAGCUAACAGCGAAAAUAAGUAGACAACGAAUUAACAACUGUAGUUUAAUUAUUCAUAUUUAUCAUGAUUUAAAAUAAUUAAACUUUUACCACAUUUCAUAAUAAUUUAUGACAGAUAUGUAUAUUGUAUUUGCAUAAUUAAACUACAGUCAUUAAUCUUUAUCUAUCUAUCUUUACUGUAAACUUGACUACUAGAAUGAGUAUAUUUAUCAUAUUAAUCCUUAGCCGAAGCAAAAUUUUGCCUCACUCAACUACUUGCUUUUGAUUACACUUAGGGGUGGGUAAAGAAAUUGUUGCUCCCAUAAAAACCGACCGAAUUGACGGCUUAGUUCGACUCAGUUCAGUUUAAAAAAUUAAAGAAAUCAGUUUAUAUAAAAAAAAAUUUAAAAAUAUAAAAUACAAAGAAAUUUACGAUUUAAAACCGGAAAAACUCAACCGAAUUGACAGCCGGUUUGGAUUAUGUUUUAUAAAAGCUGAUCAGUUUCAGUUCGAUCAAGAAUCGAAUCGACCCAGGAAAAGUUCUUUUCUGAAUGGAAGAUUUAGUAAACAUCUGCAAAAGAUAAAUGGUGGUCCCAAAAUACCUGCAAAAAACUGCUUUUGCGUGUAUAUACAUCAUAAGGAUGCUAAAACACAAGUGCUUUACUUACUGCUUUUUAAAUUACCUUUGCAGGAUCUCUUCCUUGCAUCGAAGGUGAAGGGUCAUUCUUGUGAAAGAAUAUUAUUGGUAUCUGAACCUUCGCCUUUCUAAGUCAUCAAUAUCAGAAGGUUGCUUCGCUGCCCUUGGUGUUGGCCUCGCCGGAGCAAUUAGGCCCCGCCGCCUUCCAGGUAACCGAUAGAACUUGAGAAAAUUUGGAUGCCAUUUAGGGACUGAGUUACUUGGAUGACCCCUCUUUUUUUUUUUAAUUUAAUUCACGCGUCGUCGAAUUUGGAUCGGGGUCUUAAAAGACUGUUAUUUAUUAUUGGAACGAGGCCUUAUUUCACUUUAAAUAAAAAUAAUAAUAAUUUUAAUUAUAAUUAA
rnacentral:lncRNA from 1 species